rnacentral:rRNA from 1 species
GACGAACGCUGGCGGCGUGCUUAACACAUGCAAGUCGAACGGAAAGGCCCUGCUUUUGUGGGGUGCUCGAGUGGCGAACGGGUGAGUAACACGUGAGUAACCUGCCCUUGACUUUGGGAUAACUUCAGGAAACUGGGGCUAAUACCGGAUAGGAGCUCCUGCUGCAUGGUGGGGGUUGGAAAGUUUCGGCGGUUGGGGAUGGACUCGCGGCUUAUCAGCUGGUUGGUGGGGUAGUGGCUUACCAAGGCUUUGACGGGUAGCCGGCCUGAGAGGGUGACCGGGCACAUUGGGACUGAGAGACGGCCCAGACUGCUACGGGAGGCAGCAGUGGGGAAUAUUGCACAAUGGGCGGAAGCCUGAUGCAGCAACGCCGCGUGCGGGAUGACGGCCUUCGGGUUGUAAACCGCUUUCGCCUGUGACGAAGCGUGAGUGACGGUAAUGGGUAAAGAAGCACCGGCUAACUACGUG